UGGCAGGUCAUCUGUCCAGCUUGGCUGCUGCUCCUGGGAAGCACCGGGAAACUGAAAACCACCUUCUUCUCCCCAGAUCCCACCGCACCUGCCUCUCCAACAGGGCAAAGGCAGGCCUGCAGCCUGCAAGAUGGUUACGGCUGGAAAUGAUGAUGUUUGUCUGAAGGGACUCUAACUAAAGCAUUUCCUGUUUUUAUGGGGCAUCCACAAACUGGUUCCCUUGGGAACCCUAAAGCUGCAGCAUUCCCCAGUGGGAAGCUUAGCAUGGCUACCUAGAGAGAGCGAGCUGUACUACAAAGUAAGCAAGGCUAAUGUAACUCACAGGAUUUAAGCCCAGCUUAGAGGAAACUCUUUGGUCAUACUUCUCCCACAGAGAAUCUUAUUGUACAACAUAAAGGAAUCUUUUGGGUACUGGUUCCAACUGCAGAAUGCCUGACCAGUGUGCAGCCUGGGUUAUCUGUACUAUAAACAGAUUUCCACACAUGCUCUCAGGAAGGUAGCCGGGCCUGGCCUUCAGAAACUCCAGCCUGCACAUCAGCCUGUCAUUCCCCCUGGCUUGGAGGCCUCCGCCUGUGUCCUGCCUCCUUCAAGCCGCAGUUUGAAGCCCUGUGCACACCCUUUUUCUUGUUGGGCAAGCCUUCCGGGAUUGUCAACUCAGGGUCACUGCCCUGUGUAUUCAGACGGCACCCUGACCCAUCUCUCUUGUCUAUAUCUGACUCUCAUUCUUUCCCAUCAGAUUUGGAUUUCAAACCAGGAUGUUUUGCUUAAUCACUACAGAUUUACGUGCACGCACGCACGCACGCCUUGGCUUAAAUAUCCCAACUUUUAAUUUUGUAAAGUUCCUGGAGGUGGCCCCAAGCAUCGGGCGUUUUCUCUUGAAAUGUACGACUUGUUAGUAAGCAUGAUACAGUGAUAGGACACAGCACAAUGGAAGUCCUCAAGGGGGGGGGGGGGCGGCUUAGGACUAUCUGAUCCCACAGCCGCUGGCGACAGGCUCCGUCUCAGCGCGUCAUGCUCAUAGGCAUUAAAUGUGGUCUGACCCCACUUCUUUGAUAAGUAAGUUGGUCUUGUGUGAGGCUUCAGUUACACAUUUUCUAUCCUUUGUCUUGGGAAGGAUGUCUGUGAGGACCUGGCCAGUGUCCUGGAGGCUCCCAAAGCACCCUGCAUAUGCAUCUGAAGCCUAGACUGUGAGAACAUAGUAUCAGAGACACAAACACCCACGGAAGGCUAUCUCAGAGGUCCUGCAAACACUUGCGCAAGGCAGGCAUCAGAUCUGUAUGUGGUACACAUAUAUACGUGCAGGCAAAAACACAUGGGUAAAGUAAUACUCUGAAAAAAAGCCAAAAAGUUGGAAAGUUCUAUUGAAAUAUUAAACAAUUAUGGCCACCAGCUGCAACUUCUUAUAAGUUAACAGUAACGAUCUUCAGAAAAAAGAUAUAAAACGGCUGGUGGUGGUGGCGCAUGCCUUUGAUCCCAGCACUUGGGAGGGAGAGACAGGUGGAUCUCUGAGUUCCAGGGCUACACAGAGAAAGCCUGUCUUGAAAAAGCAUUAAAAGAAAAGGGGGUGGGGGGAGCAUAAAACCACUGCAGCUGGCUGCUCCAAUCAGCUAUAGAAAGUCUUUGGCUAACUUCUGUGGCAAAUUUCAUCUGCUUACUUACAUAGUGAUGAAAGUCACUAGACAGAUAUACCUCCCAAUUAUAAUUGCUUUUAUAUCACAUGCAUCUAUUUCAAAGCUUUUGUUCGGUACUUAGUAUCCUGGAGAUACUACUGCAGGGUGUGGGAGUUUUAUUUUAAAUGAUCAUGUAGUAAGAUCUCUGUCUUUGGGUACAGUCGUGCUGUAUAACUACCCCCAGCCAGGACACUGAAUGCCCUGCUGACGACCUUGGGAGGUGCUCCACCCAUCUCAGGCCUGCAGCACCGGCCUGCUCUUCAUCCUGUGGUUUUGCUCUUUAAAGAAUGGCAUCUGUCAAAGCGUGCGGUGUGUAGCCCUGUGAGGCUGGCUCCUUUCAUGCAUCCUGCUGUUGAGAUUCAGCCACUGUACUUAUGUGCAUUAAUAGCUUGCUCAUCUUUACUCAAGCAUCUGUAGCUCUCCUUUCUCAUUGUUGGAUAUGGUAGUCUGCUUAUUCCAGCAUCCUCCAAAGGCCAUGUGUGCUAUCUACAGUCUUCAGUAUUUGGGAGAACUGCUAUAAAUAUUCAAUUUCAAGCUUCUGUCUGAAGGUAGCUUUUCCUUUCAUUUGGUAACUACCUGGGGCUCAGGCUGCUAGGUCACAAAGAUCUACUGGAAGGCUGACAAACACGUGGUACCACACUACACACAUACAUACAAAAAACAAGAAGCACUGUGUCCAACUAAACGGUUGUUUAGCUCUUUCUUUAAUAUUUCUUUAUUAGGCCGGGGGUAAUGGUAUACAACAUUAGUCCCAGUACUUGAAAGGCAGGCCAGCCAGAGCUAUACAGUGACCCUAUUUCAAAUAGGAGAGUUAGAUUUUUAUUAUUUUAAAUGGACAUAUUUGUGUAUGUAAGCAAAUACCCCAUGUGUGUGGAUGCUUUUGGAAGCCUGAAGAGGGUGUCUGGUCCUCUGGGAGUUAGAACUUGAGGUGUGGUGAGCCACUGGACACCCUGCCAGGACAGAAACUUAAGUCCUCAGGAAGAGCAACAAGGGUUAUUUUAACUGGUAAGCACUCUCCAGCCUCUGGGUGUUUACUUUAGAAGAAACUGCCAGGCCAUCUUCUAGGGCAGCUGGGCCACGCGCAGCCCUCCUGCAGCAGCAGCACGCGCUCCAAGUGGACAGCGCUAGGUAGCAGGUCUGUUCUUCACUCUAAAGCAUACCUGAGCUCAUGCUAUAAUUCUCAUUUUCCUGAUAGCUAAUGAUACUGAACAUCUUUUCAAGUGUUCACUUGCCACCCACAGGUCUUCUCUGCCAAGUUUUUAUUUUAUGCCUCCUUUUAAAUUGGGCUGUUUAACAACUGAGUCUGGAGAAUUCUUUAUGUAUUUGCAGUAGAGUCCUUUGUUGGCUACAUGAUUUUAAAGUGUCUUCCCAGGUUUGUACUUGCCUCAUAUUGUUUUCUUGGUAAAAUAAACUUAAAUUUUUAUGAUUUCCAUUUUAUCGAUUUCUUCCAUUCAUGCCUUGUGACCACCAUCACACCCCCGAGUCAGCGUUUCUCUGUGUAGCCCUGGCUAUCCCAAAACUAGCUCUGUAGAACAGGCUGGCUUCACAGAGAUUCGCCUGCCUCUGCCUCCCAAGUGCUGGGAUUAAAGGCGUGCGCCAACACUCAAACCUUCUUGGUUUAUGCUUUGAGAGUCACACCCAAGGGCUCUUACACAGAGCAGGCCAUGAAAACCUCACAUUCACUUGAAGUUUUACAGUUUGAUGUCUACACCUGAGACCUCCGUUGAAUUAAUCUGUAUAGAAGGCAGAUGCCCAGCUGCUCUAGCCCACCUGUUGGAGAGCUGCUGCCCCAAAUGAGUUACCAUCACACCUCUGCAAAAAGGUCCUGCUGUGUUUCUGGACUCUGUUCUGUUCAUCUGUGAUGGACAUUUUAUUCCUUCAGCUUUGUCAUAGUGAGCCUUAAAUUCACAUAGAGCAGUAGUUCUAAAGCUGCAACCCUUUAAUAGUUCUUCAUGUUAUGGUGACCCCCAACCUUAAGAUUAUUUCGCUGCUACUUCACAACUGUAAUUUUGCUACUGUUAUGAAUCAUAGAGUAAAUAUCUGGUAUGGAGGACGUCUAAUGUGACCCCUGUGGGUUGUGACCCACCGGUUGAAAACCACUGACCAAGGGGACUUUCUCUAACUGUAUUUUCUUCCCAAGAGUGUUUUGGCUAGUCUAGCUUCUUUACCUUUUCAUCUAAAUUUUAGACUUACUUUGUUCACAUGCUGCACGCACACACACAAAAAGCACGAAGUCUUUUGGGAAUUCAGGUAUAGGGGUACACGCCUGUAAUUCCAGCAUUUGGGAAGCCGAGGCAGUAGCAGGAUCACAGACUAGGCUGAACUACACAGUGAGAUCGUGUCUCAAAAAGAAUGAAUAAAUAAGUUAAAAAAAAAAAAAGGCUAAUGGGCUGUUGGCUUGCAACAACUCGAAUCUCUAGGCCAUACUCUGAUAUUCCAGGAUAUUUGAUUAUUAUACACAGAAAACCUAAUUGUUAGCAAAAUAGAAAUGCUUAAAUGUGGUUAGGCGUGUCCUAAAAAGACACAGUUUGGGUGCGCCUCUAAAAGCCUCCACAGACAAGAAGGCGGAAGAAUGGAGAGUCCCUGCCUAUUUUAGGACGAGUUGCUAGGGAAAGUCAGCUGCAUGGCCUUGAACUGCCCCACCAAAAAGGCGAAACGGCUCAGCCCCUUACUGAUUUGGCUUGUAGAUCUCUCUCUCCUUUUUGGCUGGGAAGAACCUUGAUGGAAGGAGCUCUGGGUAAGAGAUAGGGAUUUUCUCUUUGGGCUUGCAGGAACCACAGAGAAACAGCUGGCAGGACACAGGUCAAACAGUAUUCUAGGGAAGAGAGCUAAGGAGCCCCCUUGGGUUUGGAGAACUCAAGAGAAAGGUAGGCUAGCUUGGUAGUAUGACACAGAAAGAGAUUUCUAAAGAGCUAGCAGUUUAGUUGUAGGAUCAGGCUUGUAAAUAGAUAUUUGUAUACAGUGAGGAAGAUAAAGUUACCUCGCUGAGCUAGCACGUUUUACCUCAGUUUCUGCCUCCUGCGUCUUUACUGCAAUAAACGUUGGGUGACCUGAUACAUAUUACACUCUGACAUCUCCAUCACUCCCAUCUUCUGAUCCAUGAAUGCGAUGUGUCUCCACUCAUUCAUGCUUCCUUCAUGGGAUGUUUGCUUCAGUCACAGUUUUGCCACAGGAUCUGAGGAGUCACUAGAAGUCUCCUAGUAGUCUUUCAGAACAGAUACUAUGUCUAAAAGCUAUACUGAUAAUGAAUGAAAUGGCUGAAAUCCUGGUCACCUCUGGUGAGGACAAGGGGAAGGUGCUUCCUGGUAACAGAAACACUUUGCAGCUCUGUUCUUGGCUCUGACACACACGGGAAGGUACCUCACUUAGCCAUAUGUAUUACGUCAUGGCCGUACAUUCAGUUAACAUCCACACUCAUUUAACAAAUCUAGCUGCUGGUCAGGCGUGCAUCACACUAAGUCCCAAGAACAACACAACAAAGUAACACAAGAAAACUCACUGUUUAAAGCCUCCCUUCUAGGGGAAGAUGACGCCAACACACACACAAAUGGGAAACUAAAGAAAAAGCUUGCUCUUACCACAUGCAAAUCACAGACAGACACUUGAUUGAAGGGCCUGCCUUGGUGUUGCUUAGGAAGCAAUGCCUGGUGGGGACCCAGGAAGAUGCAAUGGGGUAGGAAGAUGUUAUACUGACCACCAAGGCCAUCUUUAGCUAAUAAGAAACUCCCUACAAAUCAGAAACCUGUGAGUAUGACAAUGUCAAUGUACAUAGCUGGUACCUUGACCUUAAGUAAUUGCAAGUACUGUCUGAAGAUUCCUACACUACAUUUUUUUCCCCCCAAGACAGGGUUUCUCUAUGUAGCCCUGGCUGUCCUGGAACUCACUCUGUAGACCAAGCUGGCCUUGAACUCAGAAAUCCGCCUGCCUCUACCUCCCAAGUGCUGGGAUUAAAGGCGUGUGCCACCACGCCUGGCCCUACACUACUUUUAAAAACGUCUCAGAGAGUUAAAGAGUACUGGCUGUCUGGGCAGUGGUUGGCCAAUGCCUUUAAUCCCAGCACUCAGAAGACAGAGGCCAACCUGAUUUGCAGAGUUCCAGAAUACCCACGGCUAUAGAGAAAAACUGUCUUGAAAAACAAAAACAAAAUAAAACAAUGUACUGGCUGCUCCUGCAGAAAGCCAGGGUCUGAUUUCCAGCACUCACUUUACAGCUCACAACCCUGUGCAAUAAUUCCAGUUCCAGAGGCUCUAACUGCUGCCCUCUUCUGGUGCCUUUAGGCACUACACACACAGUGCAGACAUACAGGCAAAGCACCUAUACACAUAAAAUAAAAAAUAAUUUGGGUGGGGAUGUUGAAAAGGACCUCACUGGGUAGCCCUGGAAACCCUGAAACCAAAAACUGGCCUCGAGCUCAAAAGAGAUCUGCCUGUCUCCCCCUCCCUUCCCACGUGCUGGAAUUAAUGGUGCCACUAUACCCAAUUCUUUUUUUUUAUUAUUUAAUUUUUAUAAUGUUGUUCUGUAAAUUUUAGAGUUAUCCCUUUACUUGCUUGCAAACAGUAAUUUCCACGGCUCCAGUGCCACUGUGCACUGCUCUUAUGAGAUGAAGUAUUUGCUUACCUUGGAAAAAAGCACCCAAGAAACAAAUUAACUUGACACUUUGUCUUCUUGUGUGUGUGUGUGGGGGGGGUUAUAUGUGUGCCCAUGUCUUCUUGUGUGUGUGUUGGGGGGGUUAUAUGUGUGCCCAUGUCUUCUUGUGUGUGUGGGGGGGGGGGGGUUAUAUGUGUGCCCAUAUCUUCUUGUGUGUGUGUGUGUGGGGGGUAUGUGUGUGCCCAUUUCUUUUUGUGUGUGUGUGUGUGAGUUAUAUAUAUGCCCAUGUCUUCUUGUGUGGGGGGGGGUAGUUUAUAUGUGUGCCCAUGUCUUCUUGUGUGUGUGUGGGAGGGGGUGAGUUUAUAUGUGUGCCCACAUCUUACUGGGGGGGGGAGUUUAUGUGUGCCUAUGUCUAGGUGUGUAUGUGACAAGGGCUAAAAUGACAUUGACAGCUCUCUACUUCAUUCACUGAAGCAGGGCCCCUCACUGAACCAGGAGAUGGGUAAUUCAAGCUACUUCUGUUAGCUGGGGUUCUCGUCUCUGUUUGAGUGUUGGGGUUACAGGAAGGCCAACACAGCUAUCUGGCUUUUACAUGGCCUUCUUUCCGAGAAGUCCAGCAGGCCGGUGUCCCCCAACCAUAGUCCUGCAGUAUGCUUUUUAAAUGUACAUUCACAUGGGUCAAAUGAGACCUUAGUGCUUUCCUUCUGGCUUCCAGGGUAUUGACAACUUUGAAUCUCACCCUCAGAAAGGCCCACAAUCUCAUAACAGCUGUCUAGCUUAUUCAGAUAAAACCUUCCACACAGCACUUCAAAUGACUUCUAAAAACCUGCCCAGACAAAAGCCAUGGUAAACAAACCCACUUCUGGCAGGAGGGCUCCACAUCGAAGACUUGCCUUCUUGGAAAAGCUUAGCACAGAGCUGGGUGUGGUGGCACACCUUUGAACCCAGCACUCGGGAGGCAGCGGCAGGGUCUCUCUGAGUUUGAAGCCAGCUUGGUCUACAUAGUGAGUUCCAGGACAGCCAGGGCUAUGUAGAGAGACCCUACAUAAAACAAAAACAACCAAAAAGAAAAGCCCAAUACAGGUGGGCAAGAUGGCUCAGUCCCUUGCUUCCAAACCUGAAGACCCAUGUUUGGUCCCCCAAAUCCAUGUGGUGGAACGACAGAAAUCCUCUAACCCUCCCCACACAGACACAAAAUAAGCAUAAAUGUAAAAAAAAAUGCAAAGAGACCUCAAAUGAAGGUCUUAGCUCUACAGUCACGGGGAUGAGAGCAGACUUAAGCCAACGACUUACGGCAAUGCACCUUCCUAAAAGAAAGUCCUACUUAUUUUAUUUACAUUGACUGUCUUUAAACACUAAGUUCCUGAUGUUUGCUUUGGCGUAUUAGUAAGAUUAAGACAAAUUUUACCCAACAAGCACCACAGAAAGCACAAGGAAGCAAAAUUCACCUGUUUGCAUUUCUCAGUCCUAUCUACGCCCAAGUUCCUGCUCCAAUCCACCUGGGGAGAGUGGUGUUUCCCUAAUGUCAGCCAGCUACACAGCCUCCUCAGUAAAUGAUACACUUCCAAGUUUACACAUGACCUUAGCCAAAAGGCUAAGAUCAAUCUACAAGCCAUCAAUCCACUUCCAACUUUAUCUUAAAACUGUCAAUUUCUUUCUCAGAGGACUUCAUUUUGAAUGCAAACUUUUCCAGUAUUGUGGUAAGUGGAAAGCCAGUAUGGUUUAUGGUAUCUAGAAGACAAAAGGUGAAGAUGUACUCAAUCUACUGCCUGCCGUAAGCUCUAGAAGAGCAGCAAGUGCUCUUACCUGCUGAGCCACUUCUCCAGGCCCUUUAACUGUUAAAAGAGAUGAGCAGUCAGUAUUCCGUCUAGUACCCAGGAGGAAAAAGUAGAAAGAUCAUUACCACAAGUUCGAGGCCAACCUAGAACAGGCUAGCCAGGGCUAGUCUUGAAACUAUCCCUUGCUGGAGGGGAGGAUACUCAGUGGUGCUAUUCCAAAGGACCAAAUGUUCAGUGCCAAGAAAACAGGACAGCUCACAACCACCAACUCCAGGGUAUCUGAUGCCCUCGGUGGACUCCACUAGCACCUGAACUCACAGGUGCACACACACACACACACACACACACACACACACACACACACAGGCCUGUACACAUGUACAUGCUUAAAACCAAACUAAAUCUUUUUUUAGAAAAAGAGAAAGAACACUUACGGGCUGUGGUGGCACAGGACUUUAAUCCCAGCACUCGGGAGGCAGGGGUAGGCGGAUCUCUAUGAAUUGGAUGCUAACCUGGUCUAUAGAGUGAGUCAACAGCCAGGGCUAUUACACAGAGAAACACUAUCUCAAAAAACAAAUAAAAAAACACAGAGAGAAAAAUGUCAUAAGAGUGUUGAGAGCACAGACCAAAUUAAGCCCUUCUCUUGACAGCAUCUGAGGUCUGAAGGGAACUGAAAACCAAAUGCCUUCCCAAUGGCAGCCAUUCCUGUUGCUCCUUCAACACAUCCCAACCCACACAGUGGAGACCUGGGCUCCAGGAGAACACUGCACAAGGUCUCAGAGGCUAUUUCCAGCGGCUUCAGCAUGAGUACUAGGCAUUCCACAUUUAGGUUACUGACCAUGUGACCGCUGGCCAAUGUCGUAUUUUAGUCUAGUACUGUCAAACGGCUCACUACUUGAAAUCUGUAUUCUUCGGGUGUACUGGCUAGGUUUUGUGUCAGCUGGACACAGAUUAGAAUUAUCAGAAAGGAAGGAGCCUCAGUUAAGGCAAUGUCACCAUGAGAUCCGGCUGUAAGGCAUUUUCUCAAUUAGUGAUCAAUGGGGAAAGGCCCAACCCACUGUGAAUCGUGCCAUCCCUGGGCUGGUAGUCCUGGGUUCAAGCAAGCCAGGCUAGGAGAGCAAGCCAGUAAGCGGCAUCUCUCCACGGCCUCUGCAUCAGCUCCUGCCUCCAGGUUUCUACUGUUUGGUUUCUUGUCCUGACUUCCUCCAAUGAUGAACAGCAAUAUGGAAGUGCAAGCCAAAUAAAAUAAACCCCUUCCUCCACAACUUGUUUUUUGGUCAUGGUGUUUCACAGCAAUUGAAACUUAAGACACACAUGUAACACACUGACCUCAUAACAGUGCCCUAGGACCUGUGACAAAUGGGUAGUUCUCCUACACUCUGGGUGCUCUGUCAACAAGAGGCCCAGUAGCCUUGUGCCUCAGACACAAGCCCCAGCAAGUAACCAGCCAAGGCCAGAAGGCCGUGUCGCUGUGAGCCAGGAAGAUUUGGCUCUGACUUUACAGACCCACUCAGAAGCAUUCUUGCUAUGUCGUGGCUGACUGAGCUUUGCGCGUGGUCUCCUGUUCCUCGCUUGUUUUGCCAGGGACUAUCCACAAGAAUCGUCCACAGAGGAUUCUAUUAACACGUCUGCCAAGUCUCAUCCUUCCUCCACACUGCUCAACAAUUUCUGGAAAGGUCGCAUAUUUGCCACUCACACAAACCACCCACUCCUCCACCCAUGCACUAACUGAUGCAUACUUUCUCCCACGGCUCCAAAUGCCAGGCCAAGAGCUCAGGGGGCGCUAGCCCUGGAGAAGCUGAAAAGGGGGUGUUUCACACUCCAAGUCUCAGCACAGAGCAACACACACACACACACACACACACACACACACACACGCACACACACACAGUGAGCACAGGAACCAAGAUUCCUCCCUCAUUCAAAAGAACAGUUCCUAAAAUUCAACAGAAAGUGUGCCGAGUGGCCACAUCAAAGGCCCUAAUUCCUGCCGGUCUUGUCUUGAGAGGGAGCCCCCUACAGUCCUGCUGUGCUCUGAAAACUCAUAGUGACCCUUGUGUGUGUGGCCUCAGAGGCUUCACAAACACCUGUGCAUGUUUGUUUAAGAAUGAGUUCCUCACAUUCUCAUGGACUCUUAUCGAAAUCAAGGUCUGCAGUAAUAGUUCCCACACGACUCAUCUCAAAACCCCCGGCAGACAAGUGGACAAAGCCCUGUUCCCUGUUCAGGCCACAGCUUGAAUAUCAAAUUAUGGCAUGAAAAGGCUGAGUGUUUCUGUGGUGAAAGCAAUCCAUUGCCACAGAGACCAAAAAGAAGCUUGGGGGGGGGGGGGGCAAUGGCCCUGGGAAGAUGGCUUAGGGUGAGGGACAGCAGUUCCUUCUCUCCAAUAAACCUCUUGUAUGACCCACUUCUCUGAGGCCAACUCACUCCAGGCUCCCACUGCCUUCCAGAGCUCCAUCAAAUGCUCUAUGCUGCUGUCAGACUCCAUGAUGGACGCUCACAAGGCUCCUAAGAACUGCGGGAUGGUCUCUGCAGACCAGACCAGCAGCUGGACCCCCAUCCCAGGCUGGUGAGUAGCUAGUACACCGCUCAGGUAUUGACACAUGUACGUUGUUCUUUCUUUCCUUCCUUUUCCCCCUAUUGCUGGGGAUGGAACCUGAGGACUUGUGCACACUCUUCCAUGAGCCUUAUCACCAGCCCUGGAUACACACAGUGUGUGUGUGUGUGUAUCCUGAAUAUAUGUUUUUUUCCAGUGGGCACAUUUGCUUAGAGACAAGGCCUCAUAUAGUCAAAUUCAAGCCCCUCACCCUCUUGCCCAGCUUCCCAAGUCCCAGGAUUACAAGACUGUCCUUACGCUCUGUUUUAUGAGGUGCUGGGAAUCAAACACAGGUCUUCAUGCACAUUAGGCACACGACCACCUGAGCGCAGCCCUGCGCUUGUUUAAGGUGCACAGGGGAAAAAGCAUAGGCCGCAGCAUGUGAUCGCAUAAAUAUCAUUCCUCAGGACAAACUUCAGUCUAAACACGACUUCAGGGUGACAACAUCCUUUGCUUGCUUAAAACUUGGGUUUUUUUUAUAUUUUGGGGGAUAUCAUCUUACUGUGUUGCCAAGGUUGGCCACAGAUGCCUGGACUCAAGUCUAAUUCAGCCUCCUGAGGAGCAGGGAUUACAGUCAUAGUAACAAACCAAAUGGAUUUUGCUUUUGUUUGAGACAAAGUUUCUCUGUGUAGUUCUAUCUGUUCUGGUUUUUACUCUGUAGAACAGGCUGGCCUUGAACUCUCAAAGAUCUGCCUGAUUCAUUAACUAUUAUUAAAUUACACAGAGUCUGUACUUGCUGUUUAGCAUCUGUCAGGGCGUGUCGUCGUCAUCCCCCACCACCACCCCUGCUCCAGCACAGUGCCUACCACAGGAGGAACACUCAAGGGUCACUGCAAGGCACUGGCUCACUCACAGCAGCACUGAAGACAGAAGUCUGCUGUUGAGGUGUAGAGGGCAACAGGUCCCUGUGCACACUGAUAAGCAUGAGGGAAACCAGGAAUAUUGAACACACAGGGUUGUCUCUUCAACAGAAGGCUGCAUACCUGCUGUUGCCAGAGAGCUGGGGAUGGAUACUGUUCACGGCCUGGUGACCUGUGCAGACUGUAGGGCCAGACCACAGCUGCAUUCCCCAUACUACUGUGUUCAUCCCAGACUCCUCCCUAGACCUUCAUCCUGAGCACUAUUUCUCAGUCACUAGAACUCAUCCUUAAGGAUUUUGCAAGAGUUUCGAGGCAGCCCCGCCUUAAGCAUUACUGUGAUAACUGUCACGGAGAGCUUCUUUCCAAAGCUCUACUGUGCUUACACAUGGCUAAAGUAAACUGCUCUGAAUCGGCUUCUAGAAGUUUGACCCCACACCAGCUACCGAUUCCUGUUGAACCAGAUCUCCUCCUCGCCUCAUGUGGACACUCAGAUCCUUACUCUGUGGUAAGGAUCUCCUGGUAUUCGCAGAGCCCCCACAGCUGACUGUUACCAUCUAGAAUUGGAAACACUGUGGCAGUCCAUUUAUAGUAUCGGUUCUCCUGGGAGGCCUUCUGGACCGGGGAAACUAUGGGUAAAUCUCUGUGAGACUCACAGGCUUUUUUCAGGCUGCUAUGGCUGGGGUCUUCUAAACCUGCGGGUGAAGACCUUUUUGGAGGUCACAGGAGUUCUAUAUCAGAUAUCCUACAUGUUAGAUAGCUACAUUAUGAUUCAUAACAAGUAGCAAAAUUAGUUAUAAAGUAGCAAUGAGAUAAUUUUGUGGUUGGGAGUCACAACAUGAAGAACUGUUUUAAAGAGUUACAUUAAGAAGGCUGAGAACCACCAUUCUAAGAUUUUCUUUAAAACCACUUUUCUUAGCUGAAUGUAGUGGUGUAUGCUGCCCCAGCAUUCGGAAACAGAUCUCCAAGUUCAAGGCCAUAUAGUGAGCUGGAGGUCAGCCACUGAUACAUAGUGAGACUUUGUCUCAAGACAAUCAAACAAACUCAGCACUAGAGAGAUGACUUAGUAGCCUGGAACAUUGACUUUUGUUCCAGGAGACCCAAGUUCAGUUGUCAGAACCUUACGACUGGAACCUCCUUCUGCCCUCCACAGGCACCAGGCAUGUACCCAGAACACUUACAUGCAGGCAAAAUGGAAUUUUAAAAAAUUAAAAUUAAAAACAAACCAACUACCCAGGAAGCCCUCAAAUCCAAAAUCCCCAAAACCAAACCCUUUUAAAGCACACUGACUAGAGAUAAUAGGUAAAAAUCCCUCAGAAGGCCUUUUCUUCCAGAAACUCUACCAAACUGCCCAAGGAUGAUGCCCCUUCAAGACCCACAUGAGCCCAUUACCAGCCUAUCCCACAACUGUUCACUACCUGUCAACACACUAUUUCUAUCUGACACAUGGAUUUUCAGACCCCUCACAUACAAAUUUAGUUAAAUACAUUGUAUUCCCCUUGGGUGUCCCUCCUGUCUUGUAAAAAACUGAAUUUAAAAAAAAAAAAAAAAAAACCUAAAAAGGAAAGGCCAUGACUGCUCCUACGUGUGGGUAUGGUAGAGGAGAAAAGUUCUUACUGUAGGAAAAUGGGAGAGCAGAGGCAGAGACAUCUAAGAGAGUCCAGAGUCGAACCCUAAGCCAUGGGGGAGAGGGAGGGAAGGGAAGGGGAAAGCAAGGGAAUGGGGUACAGCAGCCAAAAAGACAAAGGUACAAAAGAGGUGGGUCACCAAAAUUGUUCAGUUCUAUAGGAAGAGCAGCCCGAGGGAUGCUGGGAGAGCCUGACAACCAGGCUCACUUUGAUGUGUUGAGACCUCAGCUAUUUUUCUGGGUUUGAGACUUAACACCCCUGAAUCCCCUGCAGUUCUCUGCGGCCUGUCCAGGGUUCCCUAUGGAAGUCCACGCUGACUAUGCCUUAGCCACGGUGCUGGGGCUCACGCUCCUCUUCCCCUGCUGCCCUUUCAUCUUCCCAAGAGGCCCAGACUAGCAGCUUUCAAGGUCAUUUGCAGAACACAGAUAUUGGAGCUGCUCUCACCAGACACAGGACGAAGGACAGGUCAGCAAGCCCUGCACCCUGCCCGGCUGGGACACCGGGAUUCCUCUCAGUAGGUAUGUCCUUUCAUCCUGAGGAUGGAAGGGGCCUUACACAGUUAUCUUUUCCUGUUCCUUCCCUAGCAUCAAGACACUACGGGUUAAAGCCGGCCCUCCCUCCCCCUUUUUAAAGUCCGCCAGCAUACACAGAGAACACAUUCUCUGUGUGCUGGGAAAAGCCUACACUCUGCCCUAACUGGUGUUCUUUGGGUCCCAUCACAAGGAAGAGACAGAAGAUACUUGACCCAGUCGACCUUUCUCUUGUUAGCAAGCCAACUCAGUCGGCAUCAGUCACUAUUUUUUUCCCAGCCCCUCUUUCUCUCAAGGUCACAAUCAUAUCAGUGUUCCCCAGACGCUUUCUACAAUGGGGACAUUUAUACAAGGGCCUUGCCCUCUGGGACCUUACAAAACAGAGAGCCAGACCUCUUUACUCCCAGGGUUUUACAAAAGGCCCGAGCAGGCACACAAUAGUGAAGGGAAAGCCAUCUCUCUCUUCCCCCACGUCUCCCUCUGGCUUCAGAUCCUCUAGGCCAGGCAAGCUACUUCCCCCCACCCUUGAAAAGCCAAGACCUAGUUCCUGACCAAUUUCCUCAUUCUGUGACAGACACUGACCAAGCACCUAGCAUGCAAGGGUGGUAGGGUGGUGAAGUCAACAUGCUAAGAGGCGCUGGUCUUCAAGGAAGCAGACAUCCAGAGGCAACUCCUACAGAGUGCCACGGACAAACAGAUGUGUCACCCUGGGGUUGUUUUUGAUCAGUUCAAGAAGCACUUCUGCUGCAACUGUUGGUCCUGAUAAUCAUCUAAACUGCCUGCGCUGGCUCAGGGCCUUAUCACGAGUGUCCAGACGGGCAAGGCAGCCUUCGCUUCCAUACAUUUUCUGGAACAUCCAAUGACUGCACCAUGACCUCCCUAACCCCAAUCGCAUACAAAGCAGGAAGACUUGCAGCAAGUCUGGCCCCUGAGAGCUGAGGCACAGCCAAGAACUUCUGGCCUUCCUGUUGGUCCUGGUCC